rnacentral:rRNA from 1 species
GACGAACGCUUUCUUCUUUCUUAACACCUGCAAGUCGAACGGAAAGGCCCUGCUUUUGUGGGGUGCUCGAGUGGCGAACGGGUGAGUAACACGUGAGUAACCUGCCCUUGACUUUGGGAUAACUUCAGGAAACUGGGGCUAAUACCGGAUAGGAGCUCCUGCUGCAUGGUGGGGGUUGGAAAGUUUCGGCGGUUGGGGAUGGACUCGCGGCUUAUCAGCUUGUUGGUGGGGUAGUGGCUUACCAAGGCUUUGACGGUUAGCCGGCCUGAGAGGGUGACCGGCCACAUUGGGACUGAGAUACGGCCCAGACUCCUACGGGAGGCAGCAGUGGGGAAUAUUGCACAAUGGGCGGAAGCCUGAUGCAGCAACGCCGCGUGCGGGAUGACGGCAUUCGGGUUGUAAACCGCUUUCGCCUGUGACGAAGCGUGAGUGACGGUAAUGGGUAAAGAAGCAAAGGCUAACUACGGG